rnacentral:rRNA from 1 species
GAGUUUGAUCCUGGCUCAGGACGAACGCUGGCGGCGUGCUUAACACAUGCAAGUCGCGGGGGGUGAGCAAUCACUCACCGGCGAACGGGUGCGUAACACGUGAGCGACCUGCCCACUUGUGGGGUAUAGCCGGCCCAACGGCCGGGUAAUCCCGCAUACGCUUCUCUGGCUGCAUGGCUGGAGGAGGAAAGCCGCAAGGCGCAAGUGGAGGGGCUCGCGGCCUAUCAGCUUGUUGGCGGGGUAACGGCCCACCAAGGCGAUGACGGGUAGCUGGUCUGAGAGGAUGGCCAGCCACAUUGGGACUGAGAUACGGCCCAGACUCCUACGGGAGGCAGCAGUGGGGAAUCUUGCGCAAUGGUCGAAAGACUGACGCAGCGACGCCGCGUGCGGGAGGAAGCCCUUCGGGGUGUAAACCGCUGUUACUCGGGACGAACCUCCUGUUUCGACAGGAUUGACGGUACCGGGGGAGGAAGCACCGGCUAACUCUGUGCCAGCAGCCGCGGUAAUACAGAGGGUGCGAGCGUUGUCCGGAAUCACUGGGCGUAAAGGGCGCGUAGGCGGCUUCUCAAGCGUGUGGUGAAAGCUCGGGGCUUAACUCCGAGUCUGCCGUGCGAACUGGGAGGCUUGAGUCUGGUAGAGGUCGAUGGAAUUCCGGGUGUAGCGGUGGAAUGCGUAGAGAUCCGGAAGAACACCGGUGGCGAAGGCGGUCGACUGGGCCAGUACUGACGCUGAGGCGCGACAGCGUGGGGAGCAAACAGGAUUAGAUACCCUGGUAGUCCACGCCGUAAACGAUGGGCACUAGAUCCUUGGGGGAGCGACCCCUUGAGGGUCGGCGCUAACGCAUUAAGUGCCCCGCCUGGGGAGUACGGCCGCAAGGCUGAAACUCAAAGGAAUUGACGGGGGCCCGCACAAGCGGUGGAGCAUGUGGUUUAAUUCGACGCAACGCGAAGAACCUUACCUGGGCUAGACAACGGCGGACCAUCCUAGAAAUAGGAUCUUCCCUUCGGGGACUGCCGGUUCAGGUGCUGCAUGGCUGUCGUCAGCUCGUGCCGUGAGGUGUUGGGUUAAGUCCCGCAACGAGCGCAACCCUUGCCCUUAGUUGCCACCAUUCAGUUGGGCACUCUAGGGGGACUGCCGGCGUUAAGCCGGAGGAAGGUGGGGACGACGUCAAGUCAUCAUGGCCCUUAUGUCCAGGGCCACACACGUGCUACAAUGGACGGUACAAAGGGUCGCAAACCCGCGAGGGGGAGCCAAUCCCAAAAAGCCGUUCUCAGUUCGGAUUGGAGUCUGCAACUCGACUCCAUGAAGCUGGAAUCGCUAGUAAUCGCGGAUCAGAACGCCGCGGUGAAUACGUUCCCGGGCCUUGUACACACCGCCCGUCACACCAUGGAAGUCAGUUGUACCGGAAGUCGGUGAGUUAACCCGCAAGGGGGACAGCCGCCUAUGGUAUGACUGGUGACUGGGGUGAAGUCGUAACAAGGUAACC